ensembl:lncRNA
CACAGACUGGAGACCAGCUCUGAACACACAGAGAGACCUACACAGACUGGAGACCAGCUCUGAACACACAGAGAGACCUACACAGACUGGAGACCAGCUCUGAACACACAGAGAGACCUACAGAGAGACCUACACAGACUGGAGACCAGCUCUGAACACACAGAGAGACCUACACAGACUGGAGACCAGCUCUGAACACACAGAGAGACCUACACAGACAGACUGAGACACAGUACUAACACACACACACACACACAGCACUACCAGACACACCAGCCAUGAAGAGGAAGGAUGAAGCUCGUACCGAGGGCCUGGAUCUUAGAAAGUCCUGAUGUGACAGAAAGAAGAGACAGUACAUGUAGGAAGGACAUGCUGGUGCUCACUACAGUAGCCCCGCCCCCACCCCUCCCACAAUGCUUUGGGUUUGUUCCUGUCUCACUACAGUAGCCCCGCCCCCGCCCCUCCCACAAUGCUUUGGGUUUGUUCCUGUCUCACUACAGUAGCCCCGCCCCCGCCCCUCCCACAAUGCUUUGGGUUUGUUCCUGUCUCACUACAGUAGCCCCGCCCCCACCCCUCCCACAAUGCUUUGGGUUUGUUCCUGUCUCACUACAGUAGCCCCGCCCCCGCCCCUCCCACAAUGCUUUGGGUUUGUUGAACUCUUGUUCAUCUGGGGGGGGUUCCCUCUAAAUGGACGAGUCUCUGGACAGAAAACCUGGCUGAACAAGUGUUUCAGGUGUGGAUUUAAAUAUUCAGAUGUUUUGGUGUCGUAAACAUCCUGAUGUAUCAUAUUGAAGAGAUAUAUACAGUGUGAUGGACAUUUAACUGAACAUCAAGGACAGACGUCACUAUAUUUUAAAGGUUAUACUGUGUAUCUGGAGUCAGGGUGGAGGGGGGGGGGUAACAGGAUGUUUUAGUCAGGAAGUGGUUGAAUAUAAACUCUGGUGUUAUUAUUAUAAUUGAUCCGAUGUUAUUAACUUUAUAUAAUUAUAGAUAGUCUGUUCUAUAUAGAGGUUAUUUUGAGUCUGGUCUCAGACCACACACACACACACACACACACACACACACCAGAGAGAGACGUCUCAGACACACACACACCGAGAGAGAGACAUGUCUCACAGACACACACACACCCGAGAGAGACAUCUUAGACACACACAGAGAGAGAGUGACGUCUCGGACACACACACCGAGAGAGACAUCUUAGACACACACAGAGAGAGAGUGACGUCUCAGACACACACACCGAGAGAGACAUCUUAGACACACACAGAGAGAGAGUGACGUCUCGGACAGACACACCGAGAGAGUGACGUCUCGGACACACACACCGAGAGAGUGACGUCUCGGACACACACACCGAGAGAGUGACGUCUCGGACACACACACCGAGAGAGUGACGUCUCGGACACACACACCGAGAGAGUGACGUCUCGGACACACACACCGAGAGAGUGACGUCUCGGACACACACACCGAGAGAGUGACGUCUCGGACACACACACCGAGUGACUGACGUCUCGGACACACACACCGAGAGAGGGAGAGACGUCUCGGACACACACACCGAGAGAGGGAGAGACGUCUCGGACACACACACCGAGAGAGGGAGAGACGUCUCGGACACACACACCGAGAGAGGGAGAGACGUCUCGGACACACACACCGAGAGAGGGAGAGACACGUCUCGGACACACACACCGAGAGAGUGACGUCUCGGACACACACACCGAGAGAGAGGGAGAGACGUCUCGGACACACACACCGAGAGAGGGAGAGACGUCUCGGACACACACACCGAGAGAGGGAGAGACGUCUCGGACACACACACCGAGAGAGGGAGAGACGUCUCGGACACACACACCGAGAGAGUGAGAGAGACGUCUCGGACACACACACCGAGAGAGAGAGACGUCUCAAUCGAGAGACGAGGUGGUCUGAUCUAGACAGAGGAGAUAUGAACCAGGUCACAUGCCCAUAUUAUUUAUCACACACAGAGACCUUGUUUCACGGUUAAUAUUUGGACCCCACGGGGGGGGGGGUGUAUGUGUGUAGUGUGUGUUUGGUAAGUCUAGGUACUGUACGGUGUGUUGUAUUUUACCCGCCCCAUCCUAUUUCAGUUCAAGAGGGUUGAUUUGUUCCAUCUCAAACACACACCUUUAUAUAGAACAGAAUAGAACAACCUCUGGUCAUAUAGAACAACCUCUGGUCAUGUAGAACAACCUCUGGUCAUGUAGAACAACCUCUGGUCAUGUAGAACAACCUCUGGUCAUGUAGAACAACCUCUGGUCAUGUAGAACAACCUCUGGUCAUGUAGAACAACCUCUGGUCAUGUAGAACAACCUCUGGUCAUGUAGAACAACCUCUGGUCAUGUAGAAUAACCUCUGG